GACGAACGCUGGCGGCGUGCUUAACACAUGCAAGUCGAACGGAAAGGCCUGCUUUCCCUUGUGGAUUGCGGGUACUCGAGUGGCGAACGGGUGAGUAACACGUGAGUGAUCUGCCCCCAACUUGGGUAUAAGCCUGGGAAACUGGGUCUAAUUCCCGAUAGGACUGCAGGGUGGUGCCUGUGGUGGAAAACGAUUUUCUAGUGGUUGGGGAUGAGCUCGCGGCCUAUCAGCUUGUUGGUGGGGUAAUGGCCUACCAAGGCGGCGACGGGUAGCCGGCCUGAGAGGGUGGACGGGCACAUUGGGACUGAGAUACGGCCCAGGCUCCUACGGGAGGCAGCAGUGGGGAAUAUUGCGCGAUGGGCGGAAGCCUGAUGCAGCGACGCCGCGUGGGGGAUGACGGCCUUCGGGUUGUAAACUCCUUUCGACCGCGAGGAAGCCACCUGGUUGGAAGGGUGGUGACGGUAGUGGUAGAAGAAGCACCGGCUAACUACGUG
rnacentral:rRNA from 1 species